rnacentral:rRNA from 1 species
CCUACGGGUGGCUGCAGUGGGGAAUAUUGCACAAUGGGCGCAAGCCUGAUGCAGCCAUGCCGCGUGUGUGAAGAAGGCCUUCGGGUUGUAAAGCACUUUCAGCGGGGAGGAAGGCGGUGAGGUUAAUAACCUCAUCGAUUGACGUUACCCGCAGAAGAAGCACCGGCUAACUCCGUGCCAGCAGCCGCGGUAAUACGGAGGGUGCAAGCGUUAAUCGGAAUUACUGGGCGUAAAGCGCACGCAGGCGGUCUGUCAAGUCGGAUGUGAAAUCCCCGGGCUCAACCUGGGAACUGCAUUCGAAACUGGCAGGCUAGAGUCUUGUAGAGGGGGAUAGAAUUCCAGGUGUAGCGGUGAAAUGCGUAGAGAUCUGGAGGAAUACCGGUGGCGAAGGCGGCCCCUUGGACAAAGACUGACGCUCAGGUGCGAAAGCGUGGGGAGCAAACAGGAUUAGAUACCCUUGUAGUC